rnacentral:rRNA from 1 species
AUUGAACGCUGGCGGCAGGCCUAACACAUGCAAGUCGAGCGAGCGGCGGACGGGUGAGUAAUGUAUGGGGACUGCCCGAUAGCGGGGGAUAACUACUGGAAACGGUGGCUAAUACCGCAUACUACCGGAUAACCCAUAUGGGAUUAGCUAGUAGGUGGGGUAAAGGCUAACCUAGGCGACGAUCUCUACCUGGUCUGAGAGGAUGAUCAUCAGCCGUUGGACUGAGACACGGCCCAGACUACUUCGGAGGCCGCAGGUUCGAAUAUUGCACAAUGGGGGCGAGCUGGAUGCAGCCCUGCCGCGUGUAUGCAGCUGGCCUUAGGGUUGUAAAGUACUUCCAGCGGGGAGGCGUUACCCGCAGAAGAAGCACCGGCUAACUCCGUGCCAGCAGCCGCGGUAAUUC